rnacentral:rRNA from 1 species
UCGAACGAAGUAGCAAGUACUUAGUGGCAGACGGGUGAGAUAACAUGUAGGUAUCUGCCCUUUGGCCGUGGGAAUAACACGAGUGAAACUUGUGCUAAUACCGGAUAAGUCUAUCUACGUGAGAAAGCUUUAUGCACCAUCUGGAUGAGCCUGCACUUGAUUGAGUUUGUUGGUGGGGUAAUGGCCUACCAAGACUGUGAUCAAUAGCUGAUUUGAGAGGAUGAUCACGCCACAUUGGGACUGAGACACGGCCCAAACUCCUACGGGAGGCAGCAGUGGGGAAUCUUGCACAAUGGAGGAAACUCUGAUGCAGCGAUGCCGCGUGAGUGAAGAAGGCACUUUGGGUUGUAAAGCUCUUUCGUCGGGGAAGAAAAUGACUGUACCCGAAUAAGAAGGUCCGGCUAACUUCGUGCCAGCAGCCGCGGUAAUACAGAACGGGACCUAGCGUAGUUCGGAAUUACUGGGCUUAAAGAGUUCGUAGGUGGUUGAAACAAGUUAGUGGUUGCAAAUCCCAGAGCUUAACUCUGGAACUGACAUUAAAACUUUUCAGCUAGAGAUAUGAUAG